UACGUAGGUGGCAAGCGUUAUCCGGAAUUAUUGGGCGUAAAGAGCGCGCAGGUGGUUGAUUAAGUCUGAUGUGAAAGCCCACGGCUUAACCGUGGAGGGUCAUUGGAAACUGGUCGACUUGAGUGCAGAAGAGGGAAGUGGAAUUCCAUGUGUAGCGGUGAAAUGCGUAGAUAUUGGGAGGAACACCAGUGGUGAAGACGGCUUUCUGGUCUGUUGCUGACGCUGAGGAGCGAAAGCCAGGGGAGCGAACCGGAUUAGAUACCCCGGUA
rnacentral:rRNA from 1 species